AAAGACUAUAGUUUUGUACUGUUUAUAUCCAACAUUUGGUCGUUUGUUUUAUUUAAAAAAUUUUAAUGAUUAGUAUUUUUAUUGUUUAGUGAUAAACCAUGAAUAGUACUUUAUAUGUGACUAUUUUUUUAAAAAAAUUCUUCAUAUUUUUUUUAAAUAAGAUAGACGGUCAAACGUCGGAUACAGAAGCCCACAACUGUAUUUAAA
rnacentral:pre_miRNA from 1 species